rfam:Aedes albopictus isolate Foshan contig91533, whole genome shotgun sequence.
CGCCCAGCAACUCCUAUUCCUACCUCCACGCGGUACCGGCCGGAAACUAUGAGCAACCUUAGGGAAGA